rnacentral:rRNA from 1 species
GAUGAACGCUGGCGGCGUGCCUAAUACAUGCAAGUCGAGCGAACAGACGAGGAGCUUGCUCCUCUGACGUUAGCGGCGGACGGGUGAGUAACACGUGGAUAACCUACCUAUAAGACUGGGAUAACUUCGGGAAACCGGAGCUAAUACCGGAUAAUAUAUUGAACCGCAUGGUUCAAUAGUGAAAGACGGUUUUGCUGUCACUUAUAGAUGGAUCCGCGCCGCAUUAGCUAGUUGGUAAGGUAGCGGCUUACCAAGGCAACGAUGCGUAGCCGACCUGAGAGGGUGAUCGGCCACACUGGAACUGAGACACGGUCCAGACUCCUACGGGAGGCAGCAGUAGGGAACCUUCCGCAAUGGGCGAAAGCCUGACGGAGCAACGCCGCGUGAGUGAUGAAGGUCUUCGGAUCGUAAAACUCUGUUAUUAGGGAAGAACAAAUGUGUAAGUAACUAUGCACGUCUUGACGGUACCUAAUCAGAAAGCCACGGCUAACUACGUG